AAUUCAUCACAUGAAUGUAUAAGGGAAUAAACCAGCUCCAGAUAAUUGCAGAGCACGAGACUGUGUUUGAUGGCAUCCUAAACUUGGCAAGAUUAAUUUUCCUGACAGCUCGUCUAAAAUGGAAAUGGGCUACGUAAUUAAAAGGAAUAAAACCCCCACAGAUGUGACACGGCCAGUCCUGCUCUGCUGGCGAAAAGGAAAACAAAGCUGGUGCUAAACGGCGCAGAGAUGAAUUCAUCGGAUAUUUUAGCCUGAGCUGUGAGAGGGAAGAUGGGCGCUGCAAGCACCUCCAGCUUCACGUGGUGCAGGUGGCUGAUACCAGAGAGCAACCAGCCGGGUCAGGGGGUGUAAUAACCAAGCUUCAGCUGCUUAGAGCAAAGGUCAAGGAAUUGCCUGGCUUUGUGCUGGGUGCUGGGAGCUGCACCAGGAUCGCGGGGACUUCUUUAAACUUCCUCUGUUACCCCAGGUUCACUGAGGACCUCUCUGGAAAAGAUCUAUCAAGGCAGAGGUGAUGCUGUGCCAAAGGAAGACACCAGCCCUGUUCCUGCCUCUCCGUGGAAAACAUCUUCCCAAUGCACCUUCAGUCUCCCCAUUGCUCGUGUGUGGUCUGAGGGAUAUGUGCACUCCCUUCCUUGUGUGGGAUAUUGAAACGAAUGCCAAAACUCUCUUCACAACUUCGCCUCUGCUCCCUGCAAGGAUUUCAUCGGUAUUCUCCUUCAAGCAAAAGCAGAGCCGGAGGUGCAUCGCCCUCUUCUUGUGCACCAGAGCCUCCAACCUAAAUCCCCGCUGUUUGUUUCUGAACUAGCCGACCUUUUAGCUAAGCUGGGCUCGUUUUAAUAUAUUUUGUAUGUGUGUGUCUGUGGCUUAAAAAGGAAAAGUAUCGUGGAAACCAACGGGAGCCUGAUCUCAAAUGUUACAGCAAGGCAUUUACUUAAAAUCUUGCAGGAAAAUGUCACCCAAAGACCUUGUCUAUUAAAACUUCCUGGACUUUGAGCUGAGGGUCCCACAGUGCCCAGGAUAUGAGGCCCACAGGUUGCCUCACUCCCUUUUAUGUUGACCCAAGUGUUUUUCUUCUUUGCUUUUCCUGUUGCAACUGGGGACCCCUAGGAAUUUUUCACAUUAACCCUAUUGCAGUCUGAUUUCUCCAGGUGGGAUUUUUCUGAAGGACACAGAAAGCAGCAGACAGAAAGCUCUGCGAGAAGCAGGUGCUAAAAGACAGCAUCAGCCCUUUCCCUUGCUGAGGUGCCAGGUCCCAGUCCUAAAUACCUGUUAGAGCAGGUUCCUGAGUCAAACAGUGCAGGGCUGAUUUAAGCCUUUCAAAGCAGAUCCCAGUGGAUUCACUGGGACAGGUAGUCCCUUCUUCAAACAUCUCUAGAAGCCAUGAGCAUGUAAGGUGGGUUAGGAAGGUAAAAUACUGGGCAUCACAAGGCUGUUUUAAGCAUGCUGCUCUUGAAAAAACAAGAAAGAGAGGGAGAAAGGGGUGAUAGCAAAAUUGACAUAUAUCAGCUUUGUUGAUGACAAUAUCGAAUGCAUCAUUACUGACAGGCAUGGGAGUGCAUCCUUUCUUUAUAUUGCAAAAUAAAGCAUUGCUAGUUUGGAUGAGCAAUAAAAGAUCCCCAACUGCUGCAUAUUAUUUAGUGUGUUUGGCUGAACUGAUUUCAGGAGAGUAUUUUAAAUCAAAGCAGUUGAUACAUGGGAUAUUUAUUGCUUCUGAUUUUUGUAGCAGAGGAACCUGCUGAGACUUCUCAGUGUGAGCACGGUGGUGUGUGGGUCGGCAAAAGGACAGACCAUACUCAGAACAGAGCAAUAAUCACACAUCCCAGCAUUGUGUCCCUGGGCAGAUUUAAAAGAAAAUAGGAAACUGGAAAACAGGACACACUGGGAUGUGUAUGAUGAUGUUGGCAAGAGAAUUACUUGGAAGAAGGGUCAGUCUCUGGGAAUGGACAGCUGGGAAAUGAGGUGUCCAGUUACCUUGUAUGGGUCUUAUCUUCUGCGUGCUGGAUGUUCGCAUUCAUCCCUCUACUUUGGCAAAGCUCCUUUAAAAUUAACAGAUGUACUGGCUGAUAGACCUUGUAAUAUUUGUCUCAGACAGAGCCAGAUAUGUCAUCUGGACAUACACAGGAGAUACCAACCGCUUUAGUGCAGAGAUAAAAGCAUAUUUUGAGUCCCCCGAGUUGUUACUGCAACAAGCUCAGACCAGAUUCCUUGUGGCAAUAAAUGCACUUUAUCUUCAUAUACAAUUUAAGUGCUCAACACGUGGGCAGACAUGCUCACACACUGCCACACUAGCUUUCCCUCCAAAAAUCCUGGUUUACCCCAGGAAAAAAUAUAAUUCAAAGAGAUAGAGUUUGAGUUUGCUGCAGCCAGGAGCCUCCACCACAGCCCUUGAGGCCUGAGCAUGGUGCUGGUAUCCAGAGGGCAAGUGGAUUCCUCUGGUUCCUCUGGUUCUCGCUUAUCAGAGAUGUCAUCCACUAUCACAGUCUUGAUUUUCUUGGGGGCAGCAUCUCCAUUUCCAAAAUAUCUGCUCCAUGGGGGCACAGUGUUCACCACUGCUUGCAGCCCCUGGCUCAGGCCCUGGCCCACAUGCUGUGCCGACAUUUUUCAGGAAAUGUGACCUUGUUUUCUAACACCCCACAAUAAUUGAAGGCAGAUGGCUAUUAUUAAGGAGCCUAAGGAAGGCUACGAGGAUGGUGAAGGGUCUAGAGGGCGAGGCAUGUGAGGAGUGGCUGAGGGCCCUGGGUUUGUUCAACCCAGAGCAGAGCAGGCCGAGGGGAGGCCCCAUGGCAGCCUGCAGCUUCCUUCUGAGGGGAUCAGAGGGGGAGGCCCUGAUCAUCCCAGGACUGGCUUCUGAAAAGUUCCCAGUGGAAAUUUUCCUGGGACACAUUAUACUGCUUUCAAGUCACUCUGUGCCACUUCAGCAGGCACAAAAAUUUGGCACUUUGUGCCUUCCAAAGCACACUGUGACCUGCUGUAAAUGUGUCUUAUUUGUGCUGUGCAAUCUGGCUCGUUCCUGCUAUUCUUCCCCGUAAGAGCCCACAUCCUCCCAUUUUUUUACAGCACGCUGGCUUUGCCUGAGUCUGGGCUCCUUCCGAGCCAGCCCUGGAGUCCCUCUCGCUGUGAGAGGAGGCAGGAGAGGAUGUUGGUGCUGGUCUGCAGCCUCCCUGAGCGAUGAGAAGGUCCCUCCCGGUUAUUACCAGGAAGAGGAAUGAGAGGCUGCAGGAGACAUUUAUUCCCUUAACUCCAUUCCUGCCAUUACAGGCGAUGGCAUCAUGCAGCUGCCUGGGCACAGAAAAGUCACGUUUCUGUCUUGCUGCUCUCUCUGGAGUGACACUGCUGCAGGACCUGAUGGGGAACACAAGCCUAAGAGGAAGGCUUUAUUCACGUAGUGAACUGCAAGGAACAUUUCUCUGUGGACCCACCUGGGGAUAUUUCACCCCUAAUGCACUUGCUGAGCUGUCCACAGAUCGAAGCAGAUCUGCAGGGACACCAGCUCACAGUCUCCCCGAAACACAACCUCACCCCUAAGCACAGCUCACGCUUUGCUGCUGCUUCUCUUCCUCCUCAUGGCCAGACUUACCUGGAUGAUUUCUCAGUUAGAAGAUCUUGGCCUAGAGACAGCACAAAUAUUUUAACCUGGUUGGGGUGGACAGAGGGUCCCUGCAGAGGGAUUUUCUUCAGUUAUGGCUUGAUGGAUGGUGCAGCCACCCCUAGGGAAAGCAUUCCCAGGGUUAGGUAGCAGCUCAGACCAUAAUGUAGAGUAACCCUGGGACUGCUCUAAGCUAAACUGAAUGAGAACAGCCAGAGGAGGCAGGCAGGAAGCUGAAAGAAAACAAAAACUGACAAACAAAUGGUCAGGAAGGUUAAUCAGUUCAGCCUGAAUUAGACAGGGAGCUCAUUCAGUGCCUUUCAGUGUGAUACUGGGGCUUGACUGUGGCUGCAUUCACUGCCUGAGAGUUUUUGAAAGUCUGAUCAGAGCUGUUUGGGGAACUACAGGUACAGAAACAGUCUGGAAAACAACUACAAUAACAAAACAGCUUAUAUGAAAUAAAACUUUGGUUGAUUUGACAAGGUGUUUACUGAGCACAGGAACUCUCUGGACAACAGCAAUUUUUCUUAACUUUCUCAUAAAUCACAAACAAACUGUUUUGGCUCCUAGGGCAAAUUUUGACAAAUCCUAAUAGAAAAGCAAACAGGUGAUUCUAUGAUAUCUUUGCCAAAAUUGAUCUAGCACUGCUAUAGCUAUGAAAUAAGGGAAGGUUUCUUUCAUGGAAGUCAAAGAAAAUGCAGUGCAAGAUUAUUCUUCCUGAAUAACUUUUAAAGAAGAUAAUCCACCUCUUGUGUUGAAAUAAGGACCCCUUCACUGGUGCAAAGAACUUUUAAAAGAACGGCUUAUUUCUAGCUCAGACUUCACAACAUCCAGAAGAGGAGCCUUAACCAGCCCUUGCAUGGUCCUGAAAAGCCACAGGGAUGGAUUCGGUGUAAUACAGUAUUCAGGUUUACUUUGGGAGAAAGGAAAGGAAAAUGCAUGCACCUAUUUUUCAUCUUAAAAUGUUCUUUAUUAACAACAGUUAGUUACUGGCCUUAUAUUCCUACAAACACAUGGAAAUAUGGACACCUUGUCAUACUGAGUGAGUUUUUAAGGGGAGCAUAGCAGGGCAAUACGGUUAUAACUGGGGAAAUUUUGAGAGGUUGUUACAGUGAGACAGCCUAUACAUGUACAAGCGAGCCAUAUUCCCAGUUCAUAUAUACAGGAAUUCAGGCUGCAUUGUUUCACUUUUGCUCACAAAGACCAUGUAUGGAUUUUGAAACCAAAAUCAGUUGUCUUUCAGUGCAGUACAAGACUUUCUGUCAGUGCCCAAAAUAGAAGAACUGCACACCCAGCUUUGAAUCCAGGGCUGAAUGCUGGAGGAAAAAGUCUAGAAAAUGAUUUGGGUGGAAGGGUGCAUUCAUACAAGAAAUUGCUAAAUAUCAGCAGAGCCAGACUAAUGACAGGGGAUGAGAAAUAGGUUAGAAAAAUUAGAUGGAGUCCUUCUUGCUCAGUAAUGACCAUUUCAUGAAAGAAAGUUGUAUUUCACUACGUGGUGAACACAGAGGUAAUAAUGAAGAUAACUGCCACAAAGUAGACGUGAGAUGAACUGGCAGAUAGUGGAACAGAGUUCAAUUAACAAAAAGAUUUCUUGAAAUGAUUUGAUUCUCCAGAAUUUGUUCUAAUUCUUCAGGCAAUCAAUCAAUCCUUCAGCAAGUUUUGCAGCCACCAGCCAGCUUGGUGUGGAUGUGUAGGGUGAUGGUGCAGAAACAGUUACAGCCUUUGCCUUUCCUGGAGCUACAUGGCCUUAGCCUUGGUGCAAGGAUGAAUGUUCCUCUGCCAGCAAGGAACUAGGAGGAAUGGAAUCUGCAAAAAUCAAAAAUUAAAAACCAAAAACCAAGCUGAACUCACAGUGGCAGAAUCUGUCCCCAGUUUUGCUUGUGCAUGUUAUAAUUUUGAAGUACAGAAGAAUACAGGCACCGCUUUCUUUCACCUUUACAAUUUAAUUUGUAAAGCAAAACCAAUGUUCUGAAAUACUUCCCUAAUGUUUGAGACAUAAAAUAGUAUGAGCCAUAUAAUAAAAUGUGAGGAUAUUGAACAUAACUGUCAGGAGUUACUUAGAAAGAUUUCUAGGAAUUCUUCAUCUGCUGUCUCUAAACAGCUUGUCUCCAGGGGUGUCUCAUUCAGGUGUCUUGCUAGAGAAACAGAGGCACUGGAGAUGUUUCAGUGGUGUAUCAUGACUGGGAGAGUAAAUUAAAUUCUGUGGGCCUCUGAAACAAGUGGCAAGUGAUCUGAAAAAGCAGCAAGUCAUACAAGCUUCUGUGGAGACUUGUAUUUUGAUGCUUUAGGAAGCUAUGUAUUUCCCAUUUGCUUGUAUCUAUACUUUGAUGGAGAUCUUCACUUAUCCAGAAUCCCCUUCAAGCAGCUUAGAAAUAUGCCAAUGCCCUCAGGCUGUCCGCUUUCUUUGAUAAGAAUGCAUAUGGGUUUUAUUAUGAACUCAAUAUACCAGUUAGAAUAAGAAACUGAUAGACUUGAGAAUAUGCUUGGAAAAGGGCAGACUCGAGGAAUAAAAUACAAACCUGUUGCAAUAUAAGGAGGCCACUUUUUUCCAUUCAUCUUUUAUUGGAAUAAAAGGGCAUUUGUAGAUAUUGAGUUAGCUGCAUGACAUGGCUCAGUUUAUACUCCAAGUAGUAUAAAAAGAAACAUUUUUCACAAAUACUUUCUUACUUCAAGUUUUAAAAUGGAUUAUGUUAAGAGACAAUUUAGCAUAUUUAAGCAAAACUAGUUUACAGCAGAUUUUUGACAGCAGAUAAAGGCAAAAGGUGUGCAAAUCCUGCUCUCACUAACCUGUUGUCCAUCCAUAAAACUAAAUUGCAGGGGUCCUGUCAUGGCAAGUCCUUUUCCUCCUGCUGCAGAUGAUGAGAACUAAGCCAAGAUACUUAGCACAUAACUCUGCUUUAGCCUCAGGAGUGGCAGCUCACAGCUUUAUCUUGUCCUUGUCUCACCUCAAAGAAUGCUCAAAGAAGAGAACAGAAGAUGAGGAGUCCAAGUAGCCCCUUUUUGCUCCAGGGAUGAAUCCUAUUCCUGUCUGUGGCUUCUGAAUUUAACCACAGAGUAUCUGCAAGAAAGCGAUGUUCCUAAUAUGCAAGAGGUGCAAUAGAAUCAUGCUCAUUUACUGAAGGGUUGAGUUUAUUAUUCUAGUGCUAAGAGUCAACUAGAGAUGUUAAAGGAAAAUUUCUCUAUAGGUUCUUAAUUUGCCUAAUUGCUGACUUCCUCACAAGUGCUCACAGAGGACUCAAGAGCGAGAAGCUAUUUUCACUCUUCAUUUAACUCUUCAAAGCCAUUAGCAACCGAGAAGUUGUGAUUAGUGCUGCAAGUUCUUCUGUAAAAUGGUUACCCAAUGAAUCACACUUCACUGAUGAGCUCUGCUCAGCCUCCCACCAGCCUCACCGUGUGAUAGCCUACUAUUAGUACUCCUCUGGGGACUGCUUAUAGAGCAGGAACAACCCUUUUCUCCCUCUCCUAUCUGAGACGAAUCUGCUCUGCUCUGCUCCAUGGCAAACAGUGGCUGCUGAUGGAGUUUGAGUUUUCAUGGAGGGUGGAUGGAAACACAGCCCUAAUGGGCAACUUGUCCCCACUGUAUCCUGGAUUUGUGGUGGGUUGAACCCCAUGCUACCUCCCUGGCCAUACAGACCCACUCCAGAUAUCAGGAUUUUCUGAUUUUUGCCACCUCCCAGAUGACUCUGGGAGCUAAUCAACAACACCACCAACAUGUUUCAACCUUCCCAUGCCACCACCUAAAUCAAAAUGAGCCAAGAAAUGUCAGGGCUAAAAUCCAUACCCUCCCUAUAACUCAAUGCACAUUCAUAUCUUGGUAUCUUGAACUAAUUAUUAACAGCUUGUGUUUAUGUGGUUAUUUAUUUAUUUAUUUAUUCUUUUUUUGCCAACCUAGAAAAUAACAGCAGAUCUUCAUGCUUGGUUUUGGCUUUGAACUUGGUUUGGCCAGCGAACACCUCAAACACAGUCUCCCUUGAAAUGGCCUGGUUUCAGCAGCUCCUGGGUUUGCUGGCAGCGCUGCAGUGAUGUUUGGUCCUUUAUGGCUUAAAUGGUGUUAAGUGAUUUUAUGAUGGUUUUCCUGUGGCUCAGACAGCAGCCUUCAUUCUGGAGUGUAAUCGCUACCCUGGCACAAAUGAGUGAAGGAAAUUUUGUGCGAUCAAAUGCAAAGAAAUGCUCUUGCAUUGGAAUAAAGCACAGAGAGAGCUAACAGCUCAGUUUGCAAUAAAACUCCAGGUAACCUGCUAUUACUGCUCCGAGCUGCUGUUGUCGGAGCUGGGCUCAGCACCAGCAGUGCAAUAAGGCAUGUAAUUACCUGUCUCUGUGCCCGUUCUUUGGGUACAGCCCCCUAUCUGCAGCUGAUCCAAACAGCACAUCCAGCUUGCAUUGCACACAUCGCCUCAUUAUUUCAUAGAUAUAAUUGAACCCUUUUGUACACGAGCUUAGGCUUAGUUCAGCAAGUUGAAAACACAAUAUGCAUAAUGGAUUUAAAUAGUGUAGAUAAUAUGGGGUGGACUGGAUGUGUGAACUUGGGUUCAUGGGAGAAACCAUAAGCUUAACUUUCUUUCCCCAUUUCUGCCCACUGAAGAUUUUCUUCUGCAGAAAGAAGAUACAUAUCCCUAUAUUUUUAAUCUAUUCUGAGUGUGAGAUGGGAGGAAGUUAAAUGUUAACAAUUUAAAUUAACAACUUCUGCUUUUCAGACAAGAACUCUCUCCCCUGAGAUGCUCUUUAGUAGGUGUGUUCAGCAGGACCACCGUCAGACUCAGCAAUGCUGACUGCUAGACACAAACUCGGGGCUGCAGCCCAAAGCAGGGUAGCUCACGGGUUUUGUUUUGGGGUGCCAGCUCUGCCUGUGCUGAGUUGAUGUGUAUGUGUUCCCAGAAGCAAGUGUUCUCCAAGGCAGCAAGUUUUCUGAAGUACUUUGCUGUAAUUACAUGCUUCCUUUAAAUUAAAUGCUUGAAUAAUUCCAGAAAUUGGCCUGAAUUAUAAAAUACUUCACCUAAAACUACAAUUUUCUAGGAAACAGGGAGAAAAAAAAGAGCUCAAGGAAGAGCAACUAGUUUGAGCAUAGAGAGUGUUGGGAGAAAAGAGUUAAUAGUGAAUAUUUAUUACCAAUAACUUCAGUUUGUGUCAUUCUGACAGAAGGGAGAAUUUUGAAAAUAAAAUCCAUGAACCAACUGUGAUAAAUACUAAGUUUGCAUUUAUGUUCUCCUUUACCUUAUCAAUGCAAAUAUUUAAACUUGCUAAAGAAGAUUAAGUGAUGCCCCUAAAGUGCCCCAAAGCAUCAAAAGGAUGGUAUGUCUUAGGAACACAAGUCCCAUUUAAUGUCUGUAGCAAAUAUAGUGCCUCUGGUACAAUCAAGAAUUAAAGCAUAGAAGGAAAAGGAGUUGUUGGGAACAGAUCUGAUGCCAGAGCCUUUGGCAAGUAUAACUCUUUGGUCAAUGGUGUAUUUCACUGACAGAUGGAGCAGAGCCCAUCCUGGAGCACACCUUCUCUCUUUGUAAGCGUUAGCUGAAGGCUGACUUAGCCACCACUUCCCUGUUACUCAGAGUUUUAGCAUGUGCUGUCAAAUUUGAUUGAAGUUGGUGAACAUACUUGGCUGUUACACAUGUAUACACAGCUUACUAAGCUUCACAUCCAACCUAAAAAGCAAGGCAUUUUUAAGCAGCAGACUUGAAAUGGGAUCCAUACAAUCUUCUCACAUUUGCUCUGGAAGUUGGAACAAAAAAGAGGCUCUGCAGGAACCUCAGGAAGGAUUGCACCUGACUGAUAUAUCUGACCAAGGAAGGAGCUGAUUGCUGGAACAACUCCUUGGCCACAUGUAGAAUUUAUUGUAUUGUAUUGUAUUGUAUUGUAUUGUAUUGUAUUGUAUUAUAUUGUAUUGUAUUAUAUUGCAUUGUAUUGUAUUGUUUUGGUUUUGUUUUGUUUUGUUUAUUUUUGCUUUGGGAAUAAAGAAAAAGCCUGGAAAUCUUCAGGCAUGAGCAAGCAAGACUUGCAAUGAGGAGAUACAGACCCAGCCAUGGAUGCAUAGAUCUGAUGUAAAUUAAAACAGAGGUGGAAAGCCAAAAUGUUUUUCUUUAACAUGAGAAUGACAUAUUACAUCACCAUUUCUGUGUGGUUUGGCCUUUUGUUUUUUAAUCAUUGCUCUCCGAAUAACGUCUGAACCAAUGAUUCAUUGAAAUAAACUCUCCCUUAGUGCAUCUCAGAUGUGCACCCACAAAGUUGGGAAGAAAAAUGACACUUCCACAUCCACAGGUCACUGAAAAUUACUGCUGACGCCCAGGAACAUGCAGAUAAUGCAGCUGGUCCCCCUGUUUAGAUGCGUCUGAUGAUAUUGGAUCUUUUUUUUAAUAAAAUCGAUGCACAGUAGCAUGACAGAAUCAUGAAAUUGUCCAUGUUACAAAGGCAGGAACAAUUGGUAGGAAGGAAAAAAAGAUCUGCACAACAGAUGGCGUGUCUCUGCUUCCAUUCGUAAAUGAGUAAAAAUACCCCCAGGCUCACAAAAUCUCUUGCUUUGCUGCCGACUGACACUUAUUUGAAGCUAACAUGAAGAUUUGGUAAUCGGCCUUGAAGAGGAGAACAGAGGGAAUGGCUGAGUGAGCGAAGGGGACAGGCUGCCAGCACCUGCACAGCACCAAUUCCUCCUCCGGCCUGGACCUGAGGCGCAGGCAGGGCUGGAUCCAGAGCCCAGGAGAAUGGCUCGGGGUUG